rnacentral:rRNA from 1 species
CCAAGUUGUUAAGGGCACACGGUGGAUGCCUGGGCACCAGGAGCCGAUGAAGGACGUAGGAGGCUGCGAUAAGCCUCGGGGAGCUGUCAACCGAGCGUUGAUCCGAGGAUUUCCGAAUGGGGGAACCCCGCACCAGUCAUGUGGUGUGACCCGCGCCUGAACACAUAGGGCGUGUGGAGGGAACGUGGGGAAGUGAAACAUCUCAGUACCCACAGGAAGAGAAAACAACCGUGAUUCCGUGAGUAGUGGCGAGCGAAAGCGGAUGAGGCUAAACCGAUCGCAUGUGAUAGCCGGCAGGCGUUGUGUGGUCGGGGUCGUGGGACCGUUCCGUAUCCUCUGCCGAGGGUGCAGGGAGUAAGAAAAAGCUGGGUUAGUGGAAGGCCUCUGGAAGGGGUCGCCGUAGAGGGUGAGAGCCCCGUACACGAAAACUCAGCUUCUCCCGAACGUUAUCCCAAGUAGCACCGAGCCCGUGAAAUUCGGUGUGAAUCUGGCGGGACCACCCGCUAAGCCUGAAUACUCCCUGGUGACCGAUAGCGGACAAGUACCGUGAGGGAAAGGUGAAAAGUACCCCG